GCUGAGCAUCUGAUCCACUAUCAGAUUGGUGCAUGACAGGAGUCAGGGGGCUUAGCUAACCUUAUUCUCCCUGACAUAUUCACCAUCCCUGAGCCAAAGAAAGUAGACUUCAGCCUUGGUCUGGCUUGUAUGGUAUAAAGAAGAGACUUACUUGAGCUACAGUAUCAACAGGUGACUUUAGUGUGGAAUUUAUGCUCUGUAGUCUCAAUUUGAGCCAUAAGAUGUGGAGUGUGUUUCAGUCAUGCGAAAAACGCUGGUGUUUCCUUCCCUUCGGCAUCCUGACACAUUAACUGCUCUACUUUGGACAGACUUUAACCUGGACAGGGCUUAAUUGCCUUCCAACAGGCUGAGCAUCUGAUAUCGAACCACUGUCAGGUGACUGCAUCAAGGAGCUUAUAAGCUAUAAAGCUUAACCUCCUGCACACAGACAUAUUCAACCUACAGUACUUCUUGUGACAGACUUCAAACCAGGUGAUGGCUUUAAUGGUAUGAAAAGGAAAUAUACCUGACCUAUCACACCCAGCCUCCAACGAACUGGUGACUUUAGCGUGGAAUGAAUGCUCUGUAGUCUCAAUUUGAGCCAUAAGAUGUGGAGUGUGUUUCAGUCAUGCGAAAAACGCUGGUGUUUACUUCCCUUCGGCAUCCUGACACAUUAACUGCUCUACUUUUGACAGACUUUAACCAGGACAGGGCUUAAUUGCCCUCCAACAGGUAAUGACAGGUAAGCAUCAAUAUGCAUCAUAUGCAUUUGUUUGUAAGCAAUCCUAGAUUAAUUACAGCUGUUACAUUUGACCCAUUAGAUUGGAUUGGAUUUAUUCAGUGUAAACACCAAGGAUAGCCCACGAGAGUCUAGAAGAAG